CACACCACAGCAGUGCAAUCACUGAUUAAAACUUGCCUGAAUUAAAAACUGCUGGGAUCAAAGUGGUUCCUGAGCUGCAUGGAUGUUCUAAUAAUUAAAUGGAGAAAGAUCAAGGAACACCAAAGACCAUCUUUGAACAGACACAGAAGUUACCAUCUCCCCCUAUAUACAACCACCUGUUAUCAGGUGAACUUAGCUCCAUACUUGGGUCACGUGAUAACACUUGAACUACCUCCAUGACGGCUCCAUCCGCUGAGGAUGGCCACAAGAUGCAGCUGAAAGCUCCAUAACCAGUUCCAACAAUCUCAUCGAAGAGCAAAACACAGCUGGCUGUGAAGAUAAAUGAAGCAUAUGAUUCAGGACUCCAUGACGAGACUCAAUCAAAUCAAAAUCCAUUUUCACAACAAAUGCAAUCAGCUUUCUACUCUCACACUGUCCUGAACUGUUUACCGCCAGGUAAGACGGCACACAUCAGUGAAUCUAUUAACUCUACGUUUUAUGCUACACCAGUGGUAAGGAUCUAAGUCUACACCCUCCUUCUGCUUCCAACUGUAAUAUACAUCACAGCCACAUGGGGUCACUAGCUCAGCUGCAAACCUGAAGGCCUGUUAUGUCAUGCUAUGGUCUAUGUUUUGUUGAAUUGAAUUUACCUAAAUAUAUUUGAACUGAACAUAAUUGUAAUAGCAGGAAAAGUUAGUUAGCAGUACCAGUUUUAAUGGUCUCCAUGAAGAGGAGAUGCUUUGUUGUGUGAUUUAGGUGACAUUGAAGACGAAGUUCAUGUUUUAUUGCUCAUUAUGUAUUGAUUUAAAGGAUGUCACAGUCCCUAAUUUCUAAUUACUUCUUCUGGUUGGAUGAUUAUAAAAGACUUAGAGUCUACAGCCAAGCAGCUCUGAGGUAAACACUAAUAUCAGCAUGCUAACAUGCUCACACUGGUGAUGUUUAGCAAGUAAAAUAUUUACCAUGUUCACCAUCUUAGUUUACCAUGUUAGCAUGCUAACAUUUGCUAAUUUGCAUGCUAACAUUUGCUAAUUAGCAUUAAAGACAAAGUGCAGCUGAGGCUGAUGGGAAUGUCAUUAGUUUUACAGGUGUGGUCAUAAAGCAAAGUACCAAAUAAAACGUUUGACCUGACUAUGGUGCUCAAUGCAAACUCAAGGGAUCUUAUUAUAUAAGAUAUAUCUUACUUAUUAGAAUUCAGGCUGAGGGUAACAUGAAUGUCGGAACCAAAUUUCAUAGAAAUCCAUCAAAUAGUUGUUGAGAUAGAACCAAACAUGUCAACCUCAUGGUGGUGCUAAAGGAAAAGUCAGUGGAUCACCAAAGUCAGUAGGAUUCAUUGUCUCGGGACCAUAAACAUUUGUACAAGAUUUCAUCUUAAUCCAUCCAAUAUUUGUUUAGAUAUUUCAGUCUGGACCAAUGUGGACUGACAUUGCCAUCCCUAGAGCCUCGUUGGUAGCAUGACUAAAAACUUGAGUUGUGUUUUAGGAAGGGAAUCCUUUUUUUGUGGCAGAUUUUAUUUGUAGAAUUUGGGACAGAAGUUUUUUGUUUGCAAUGUCUUUUUUCCCCCAGACAAAUAUUUCACCACUGCAACAGUAUUUAUGGUGUCUCAUAAUGUGUCCGUGGGCUGGGUUCUUGCAUGUGCAUGACACAAUAACUAACCACCGUUACUGCGAUUACAGUAACUACUACUGUCCUCCUGCUCCAGUGCUGCUAGUUGUUGUUGGUC